rnacentral:rRNA from 1 species
UACGUAGGGUGCGAGCGUUAAUCGGAAUUACUGGGCGUAAAGCGCGUGUAGGCGGUUUGGUAAGUUCUGUGUGAAAGCCCUGGGCUCAACCCAGGAAGUGCGCAGAAUACUGCCUGACUGGAGUGACGGAGAGGAUGGCGGAAUUCCCGGUGUAGAGGUGAAAUUCGUAGAUAUGGGGAGGAACACCGGUGGCGAAGGCGGCCAUCUGGACGGAUACUGACGCUGAGACGCGAAAGCGUGGGUAGCAAACAGG